AAAUAGGCCCCUUAAUCAAUCCCUAUCAUUAUAAGCAUUUUUCUAACCCUUGUUUCCUAAUCUGCUUCUUCAAAUGCUCCUCCUCUUUGUGAUAUCUACUCCGCCGCCUGCAUGUUCUUCCCUUUUGUGAACUCUCAUUUCCUUCGUCUCCUGUUAUGGGCAAUCAGUGGUUUUUAAUGGUGAGUGGUCCGGUUUAAAGUUUCAGCUGGAUUGUACGAGGUGCUUAGUCAAUAGCAAGUUUGUUAAUCUCGAAGGUUCACCAUUGAAGGUCGAGGUGGAAAGGAAUUGACGGCUCUUGGGUUGUAUCUCCGAUUGGUGCAUAAACAUUGCUGCUCUUUGGAUUCAAAUCUGACCAUAUAUCCCUCAACUUCUGCUGGUGGCCCUUUUUAUGAUUGAAAAGGCGUUGCAGGAAUUGGACUAAGAAGGGGUUCUAAUGAAGACUCGAUAUAUGAGUUUAUUAUGAAAAAUAAUGACAAUUUGCCAAGGAUUCAUACGACAAUGCUGAAACAUCAUCUAGAGAAGAUAUGUGAAAGGGGGAAAUUGUUAUGAUUGAUGGAGACGGUUUUUGCUUCCUGGAGACAACGAAAACUCUAAUCCAAAGAGAAGGAAAGAGCAAGAGAAGGGGGAGUUACACAAAAGAAGCAACACCAAAAGGAAAAGGAGGAGCAUCCUUGACAUGUGGUGCAUUUGGAGCAACCAAAAAUACAGGGUCAUGGGAGACUUGCUAAGAACAAGGAGACAAAAAAGGUGAUGGUACAACAAAAGCAUUGGUUUGUUUGUUGCCAAAGAUGAAAUUGUACCAUCAUCUAUUUUUGCCCAAUCCUCCUUGUACUAAGAAAGCCUCCCACGACCUUGUUUGUGAAAAGGAUAAAUGGAUAUUGACUAUAACUAUGUUAGCAACUAGAAGUAUUGUAUAUCUAUCUCUAUGGAUAUUGAGGAGAUUGUUAUGUUCCUUACUUGAAUAUGUUUAUCUUAAAGUCGGGUCCUUGUUGAUGUAGAAUCGUUGAAUUAACCUAUGAGUUAAUUCGAGUUGCCUAAUGCAUACGAAAUGAAAUUCUUUCUAAA